UUAUUAGCUGUUCUGUUGCACACCUUGAGACAUUUUGUGACCGAUGGUGUGACGGCCGAAGUACUCCGUACCCAGUGCCAGUUUACUCAUUUAUCCAGUCCGGUCGAUUUACAUAGGUUACUUGGACAAUUAAAUUAAACCUUAAUAAAUGAUUACCAAAUAAUAAAUAUAACAGUAUUAAAUUAAUAAUAAUAUCAAUGAUUACCUAAAAUUUUAAUUUGCUCAUAAUCAUUACAUAAAUUCUAUAUAUUUAUGUAUAUUAGUUUAGUUUUAUUUUAUAUUGGCACCACUA
rnacentral:misc_RNA from 1 species